GGACUACUGGGGUUUCUAAUCCCGUUCGCUCCCCCAGCUUUCGCGCCUCAGCGUCAAGAGUGCCCCAGGAGACCGCCUUCGCCACUGGUGUUCCUAUCGAUAUCUACGCAUUUCACCGCUACACCGAUAAUUCCAUCUCCCCCUGACACCUUCAAGAAGACCAGUCUCCACCGACCCGCUGAGGUUGAGCCUCAGGCUUUCACAGCGGACUUGGCCUCCCGCCUACGCGCCCUUUACGCCCAGUAACUUCGGACAACGCUCGCCCCCUCCGUAUUACCGCGGCUGCUGGCAC
rnacentral:rRNA from 1 species